GACGAACGCUGGCGGCGUGCUUAACACAUGCAAGUCGAACGGAGCGCCAUGGAAUGAGGUUUCGGCCAAAGGAAAUGGUUGCUUAGUGGCGGACUGGUGAGUAACGCGUGAGGAACCUGCCUUUCAGAGGGGGACAACAGUUGGAAACGACUGCUAAUACCGAAUACGCUUGGGAGACCGCAUGAUCUACCAAGGAAAGGGUGGCCUCUACCUGUAAGCUAUCGCCUGAAGAGGGGUUUGCGUCUGAUUAGGCAGUUGGUGAGGUAACGGCCCACCAAACCUACGAUCAGUAGCCGGUCUGAGAGGAUGAACGGCCACACUGGAACUGAGACACGGUCCAGACUCCUACGGGAGGCAGCAGUGGGGAAUCUUCCGCAAUGGGCGAAAAGCCUGACGGAGCAACGCCGCGUGAGUGAUGACGGCCUCGGUUGUAAGGACUCUGUGAUCGGGACGGAACGG
rnacentral:rRNA from 1 species